rnacentral:rRNA from 1 species
AUGGAGCGCCUACACCUCGCGGUGUCCCACCGCCCGGCUCUCCCCCUCCCUACUCCCCACGACCACCUACGCCGCCGCCAUCUGCAGCUGCAGCCCUCCACUAAUUCUCUCUCCCUCUGCCGCCCCAUCUCCCCUCGCUUCUCCCUCGCCCCUUGCCGCCACCUCCAUCCUCUCCUGGCCUCCGCGUCCGCCACCCAAGCUUCAAGCCCCAACACUGAGCCCGCACCGGCGCCGGCCCCCGCCGCGGCCUCGGCCGGCGCGAAGCUGCUCCCCCUCAUCGCCUCCAUCGCGGUCGGCCUCGCAGUGCGAUUCCUGGCGCCGCGCCCCCCCGAGGUGACUCCGCAGGCGUGGCAGCUCCUCUCCAUCUUUCUCUCCACCAUCGCAGGGCUCGUCCUCGGCCCGCUCCCCGUCGGCGCGUGGGCAUUCCUCGGCCUCACUGCUACCGUGGCCACGGGUACGCUCCCCUUCAUCGCGGCGUUCGGGGCGUUCACCAACGAGGUCAUCUGGCUCAUCGUCAUCUCCUUCUUCUUUGCACGGGGGUUCGUCAAGACCGGCCUCGGCGACCGCGUUGCCACCUACUUCGUCAAGUGGUUGGGUGGAAGCACUCUGGGCCUAUCCUACGGUCUCACCAUCAGUGAGGCAUGCAUCGCGCCGGCCAUGCCCAGCACCACGGCGAGGGCUGGAGGGGUGUUCCUUCCCAUUGUCAAGUCGCUGUCGCUAUCGGCCGGCAGCAAGCCGAAUGAUCCAUCAGCGAAGAAACUGGGUGCCUACCUUGUGCAGUCUCAGCUGCAGGCAUCUGGCAACUCCAGUGCUCUCUUUCUGACCGCUGCUGCGCAGAAUCUCUUGUGUUUGAAGUUAGCGGAGGAGGCUGGUGUCAAAAUUGCAAGCCCGUGGAUAUCAUGGUUCAAGGUUGCAAGUUUGCCUGCCAUCAUUUCGCUUUUAGCAACACCUUAUUUGCUAUACAAAAUAUUCCCUCCAGAAAUAAAGGACACUCCUGAAGCCCCUGCAUUAGCUGCUCAAAAACUAAAGAAAAUGGGCCCAGUGACAAAAAAUGAAUGGGUCAUGGUUGCUACAAUGAUUCUUGCAGUCUCACUCUGGAUUUUUGGGGAUGCUAUUGGUGUGUCGAGUGUUGUUGCUGCAAUGAUUGGGCUUUCAAUUCUUCUUCUACUUGGAGUGAUGAACUGGGAUGAUUGCUUGAAUGAAAAGUCUGCGUGGGACACUUUAGCUUGGUUUGCUAUUCUAGUGGGAAUGGCAGGGCAGCUCACUGACCUCGGGAUUGUGUCAUGGAUGUCAAAUUGUGUUGCAAAGGUUCUUCAGUCUUUCUCAUUGAGUUGGCCUGCAGCAUUUGGUGUUCUUCAGGCCUCCUAUUUCUUUAUUCACUAUCUAUUUGCAAGCCAAACUGCACAUGUUGGAGCUCUAUACUCGGCGUUUCUUGCCAUGCACCUAGCAGCUGGUGUUCCUGCUAUACUCUCAGCACUUGCUCUGACGUACAAUUCAAAUCUCUUUGGAGCACUAACACAUUAUAGCAGUGGGCAGUCUGCAGUUUACUAUGGAGCUGGGUAUGUUGACCUUCCUGAUGUAUUCAAGCUGGGGUUUACAGCAGCAGCGAUUAAUGCUUUGAUUUGGGGAGUAGUUGGUACAUUUUGGUGGAAAUUCUUGGGGCUUUAUUGA